rnacentral:rRNA from 1 species
GUGAGGAAUUUUCCGCAAUGGGCGAAAGCCUGACGGAGCAAUGCCGCGUGAAGGAUGAAGGCCUAUGGGUUGUAAACUUCUUUUCUUAGAGAAGAAUAUUGACGGUAUCUGAGGAAUAAGCAUCGGCUAACUCUGUGCCAGCAGCCGCGGUAAGACAGAGGAUGCAAGCGUUAUCCGGAAUGAUUGGGCGUAAAGCGUGCGUAGGCGGUUUUGUAAGUUAGGAGUGAAAGCCCAGGGCUCAACCUUGGAAUUGCUCUUAAAACUGCAAGGCUCGAAUCUCGGAGAGGAUAGCGGAAUUUCCAGUGUAGCAGUGAAAUGCGUAGAUAUUGGAAGGAACACCAGUGGCGUAAGCGGCUAUCUGGACGAGUAUUGACGCUGAGGCACGAAAGCGUGGGGAUCAAACAGGAUUAGAAACCCUUGUAGUCC